GAUGAACGCUGGCGGCGUGCCUAAUACAUGCAAGUCGAGCGAACAGACGAGGAGCUUGCUCCUCUGACGUUAGCGGCGGACGGGUGAGUAACACGUGGAUAACCUACCUAUAAGACUGGGAUAACUGCGGGAAACCGGAGCUAAUACCGGAUAAUAUAUUGAACCGCAUGGUUCAAUAGUGAAAGACGGUUUUGCUGUCACUUAUAGAUUGAUCCGCGCCGCAUUAGCUAGUUGGUAAGGUAACGGCUUACCAAGGCAACGAUGCGUAGCCGACCUGAGAGGGUGAUCGGCCACACUGGAACUGAGACACGGUCCAGACUCCUACGGGAGGCAGCAGUAGGGAAUCUUCCGCAAUAGGCGAAAGCCUGACGGAGCAACGCCACGUGAGUGAUGAAGGUCUUCGGAUCGUAAAACUCUGUUAUUAGGGAAGAACAAAUGUGUAAGUAACUAUGCACGUCUUGACGGUACCUAAUCAGAAAGCCACGGCUAACUACGUG
rnacentral:rRNA from 1 species